rnacentral:rRNA from 1 species
AUAGUGUUCGCUGCCCUCGCGGGUAGCAAGCCUCACCCGUGUAUAUUAUAUCUUUGUUGCUUUGGCACGCCGCCUUCGGGCACUGGCUUCGGCUGGCUCGUGUGUGUCAGAGGCCUUAAAACUCUGAAUGUUAGUGUCGUCUGAGUACUAUUUAAUAGUUAAAACUUUCAACAACGGAUCUCUUGGUUCUGGCAUCGAUGAAGAACGCAGCGAAAUGCGAUAAGUAAUGUGAAUUGCAGAAUUCAGUGAAUCAUCGAAUCUUUGAACGCACAUUGCGCCCCCUGGUAUUCCGGGGGGCAUGCCUGUCCGAGCGUCAUUACAACCCUCAAGCUCAGCUUGGUGUUGGGCCCCGCCGCCCCGGCGGGCCCUAAAGUCAGUGGCGGUGCCGUCCGGCUCCGAGCGUAGUAAUUCUUCUCGCUCUGGAGGUCCGGUCGUGUGCUCGCCAGCAACCCCCAAUUUUUUUCAGGUUGACCUCGGAUCAGGUAGGGAUACCCGCUGAACUUAA